AUGUAAUGGACAAAAUUACCUUGCCUAACAUGGCAUUGUCUUAUGUGAUAUUUUUUAUGUUAAUAUGUAUCUAUUGGAAGUUAUCAUAUGAAGGAUUGCCAACUUCAGCUGGAUGACUCUGUCCGAGCCAAUGAUGAUCUGAAAGAGAACAUUGCUAUUGUGGAGAGGCUUAACAAUCUCAUUCAAACUGAGCUGGAAGAACUGAGGGCUGCUCUUGAACAAACUGAGAGAAGUCACAAACUUGCUGAGCAAGAGUUGCUGGAUGUCAGUGAAAGGGUGCAGCUGCUGCAUUCACAAAAUACUUCUCUGAUAAACCAAAAGAAGAAACUGGAAGCAGAUACCUCCCAGCUUCUGACAGAAGUAGAAGAUGCCCUCCAGGAGUGCAGGAAUGCUGAGGAGAAGGCCAAGGCCAUCACCGAUGCGGCCAUGAUGGCAGAAGAGCUGAAGAAAGAGCAGGACACUAGUGCUCACCUGGAGCGUAUGAAGAAAAACAUGGAGCAAACCAUCAAAAACCUGCAGCACCGUUUGGACGAAGCUGAACAAAUUGCAAUGAAGGGAGGGAAAAAGCAAAUACAGAAGCUUGAGACUCGGGUUAAAGAGCUAAAGAAUGAGGUGGAAAUGGAACAGAAGAGGAGCAGUGAAGCUGUGAAGGGUGUGCGGAAAUAUGAACGACGCAUCAAGGAACUCAGGCACUUCUCUUUACCACAGGGACACACUCUUUCUCAACGAUCUAAACUUUGCUCUGAUUUUGACAGACUGAGGAAGACCGCAAAAACCUUGCUUGUCUCCAAGAUUUGGUAGACAAGUUGCAGAUGAAAGUCAAAGCCUACAAGAGAGCUACUGAGGAGGCUGAGGAGCAGGCUAAUGUUCAUCUGGGAAAGUUUCGGAAGCUGCAGCAUGAAUUGGACGAGGCUGAAGAGCGUGCUGACAUUGCUGAGUCUCAGGUCAACAAGCUACGAGCCAAGAGCCGUGAUGCUGGCCCCAAG